ensembl:lincRNA
GGCUCACACAAGGAGAAGGAGAACCUGAAACCAGCAAAGGCCCAGCUACCCCAGGCUCCAGGGCCCUUUAUGAGGAAUGAUAGAGAAAAGGAGCGAAGUCCAAGUCCCCAGCAGCAGCAGAGCGAAGCUCCAAAGCAGACAUUUCCCAGAACUCCCCAAGAGAAAACGCAGGAAGCCUGGAAGGAGCCAGCGGAAGCCUGUUCAUUCCUGAGGCAUCCUACCAUGCCACUGCCUGUCCACACCACCAAGAAGCGACCUGUCCUGGGCCCUGUGUCCACAGGUCCACCGCCUGUCAACAAACCUGAGAUGAGAUUACUCUGCCCUUCGGGUCACAACGAUGGACCUCAACUGAGCACCUGUGGACCCACCAAGGGACACGGCGGGGACGUUACUGCCUCCCUGCUCCCUGUUCUGCAGAGCUCCCACCAGACCCCCACUCUCAGUGCCAGGCUGCCAGCCAACAGGCCCGACGUGUCCUCCCAUGGUGCUCUCCAGCCUGCCAUGCAGGCACUUGCCCUGGGUCCUGGCCUUAAAUCCCAGGCAGAAAUCAAACAUCCCGACGCAGAUGCAAAGCCCAGACCACAGCAAGUCAGACAACAGCGUGGCCAGGACUCCAGAACCCAGGCACCAGACAAGGAGCCUGCCCCCGUGCCCACCCAGACUUUCCAGAACCCCGCAAAGAAAGCAAGAUUCAGCUCCUUCCAGACCCCUGCACUGAGAACUCAGCUCCCGGAUGUGGGCGCUGUGCAGACACCCCAGCCUCCCCGCACUGCAACUGGACUUGGAUCCAAACAGGCACCCGAGGCGACCACAGAGACAGCAGCCACCAAGACAGCAACCCUGCAGCCCAGAGUCAACCUCCAGCCCGCACCCAGCUCACCUUUCCUGGGCCCAGCCCAGGGCUGCCCCGUCCUCCAGCCUGGACCACCCACUCAUGUUCCAGGGAGGCCCGGCAGUGUCACCUUCAUGAGAGGGGACGAGGGAGAGAAGAGCCCCAGGUUCAGAACGCCUCCCACAUCCCAUCCUCCUGAAAACUCUGCUUCCGCUCAGAGCCCUCGCUUCUCAAGGCAGCCUGAGGGGCGGGGUCCCCAGGUCUCAACGAGUGUCCUCUAUGAGGACCUUCUGGUCACUUCCUCCUCUGAGGACAGUGACAGUGACUGAGGCCCCCAAGGCAAGAAGACCCAGCUUCAAGCCCAUGCGACUUGGAAGUGGCUGAAAGGCUGAGAAGGGGAGAGGCAGGAAGCAGCCCUGUGCGGGGUCAGCCCUUCCCUGGCAGCGGUGUCUGUUCAAACGUGGACCCCAGAUACUAUCGGGGAUCAACGAACCCUGCCUAUUUACAUUAUGUAAAUUUAACCUGUAUUAAAAUGAGGCUGUUGAAAGUGUCCUAUAGAUUUCUUUUUCAAUUACAUAUAAUUAUAUGAGAAACUGAGUCAACAUAAGCAAACAAUGCUCCACUAGUGUCAAUAGAAAGCUCUGAAACUCAUCUGAGGGAGGGAGCAAACCACUGAAAUUUGAGUAAUUCUGGGCAAAGGGCCCUUCGAUGCUAGUGGCAAACGUCAGUAUCUUCUGACUCAAGAAUAUUUGACUGUGAAGGAGAGUUGUAGUGAGAAACGCUUAGCCUUGGAAAAAUGGGAAAUUUUUUUUUUCUUGGAAGAAUGUGUUUUUUUUAAAUCAGUGAAUUCAAACAUUUAAGAAACUGUUCUUUUUUAUACGGUAUACAUUUUUCCAGGACAUCAAACAAGGGAAAUACUCCAUUUAUUUUAUGAAGCUACCUAGACUCUGAUUUCCACUGUGGUAGAGAGGGCAUCUCAGCUAGCGCAUGUGUAAAGUUGAGGUACCAAUAUUCUUAAUAUUGGAAUUAUUCAGUGGAUUCAAUAAGUUACGCAAAGUACGUCAUGAAUGGCACAUGGUAAAAUAUAUUUUACUAUUAUUAUUAUCAUACCACAAGUAAACAAUAGAGUAAAUUCAAGUUUGUGAAUGAAUUUCAUUUAUAAUGAUGUACUCUAUUAGCCUUGGA